rnacentral:rRNA from 1 species
GACGAACGCUGGCGGCGUGCUUAACACAUGCAAGUCGAACGGAAAGGCCUGCUUUCCCUUGUGGAUUGCGGGUACUCGAGUGGCGAACGGGUGAGUAACACGUGAGUGAUCUGCCCCCAACUUGGGUAUAAGCCUGGGAAACUGGGUCUAAUUCCCGAUAGGACUGCAGGGUGGUGCCUGUGGUGGAAAACGAUUUUCUAGUGGUUGGGGAUGAGCUCGCGGCCUAUCAGCUUGUUGGUGGGGUAAUGGCCUACCAAGGCGGCGACGGGUAGCCGGCCUGGGAGGGUGGACGGCCACAUUGGGACUGAGAUACGGCCCAGACUCCUACGGGAGGCAGCAGUGGGGAAUAAUGCACGAUGGGCGGAAGCCUGAUGCAGCGACGCCGCGUGGGGGAUGACGGCCUUCGGGUUGUAAACUCCUUUCGACCGCGAGGAAGCCACCUGGUUGGAAGGGUGGUGACGGUAGUGGUAGAAGAAGCACCGGCUAACUACGUG